rnacentral:rRNA from 1 species
GGGUUGUGAGGUUAAGCGACUAAGCGUACACGGUGGAUGCCCUGGCAGUCAGAGGCGAUGAAGGACGUGCUAAUCUGCGAAAAGCGCCGGCGAGGUGAUAUGAACCUUUGACCCGGCGAUGUCCGAAUGGGGAAACCCAGUGCAAUUCGUUGCACUAUCGUUAACUGAAUACAUAGGUUAACGAGGCGAACCGGGGGAACUGAAACAUCUAAGUACCCCGAGGAAAAGAAAUCAACCGAGAUUCCCCCAGUAGCGGCGAGCGAACGGGGAGGAGCCCAGAGUCUGAAUCAGUUUGUGUGUUAGUGGAACGGUCUGGAAAGUCCGGCGAUACAGGGUGACAGCCCCGUACACGAAAGCACACAGGCUGUGAACUCGAAGAGUAGGGCGGGACACGUGGUAUCCUGUCUGAAUAUGGGGGACCAUCCUCCAAGGCUAAAUACUCCUGACUGACCGAUAGUGAACCAGUACCGUGAGGGAAAGGCGAAAAGAACCCCGGCGAGGGGAGUGAAAAAGAACCUGAAACCGUGUACGUACAAGCAGUGGGAGCAUCCUUCGGGGUGUGACUGCGUACCUUUUGUAUAAUGGGUCAGCGACUUAUAUUCUGUAGCAAGGUUAACCGAAUAGGGGAGCCGAAGGGAAACCGAGUCUUAACUGGGCGUUAAGUUGCAGGGUAUAGACCCGAAACCCGGUGAUCUAGCCAUGGGCAGGUUGAAGGUUGGGUAACACUAACUGGAGGACCGAACCGACUAAUGUUGAAAAAUUAGCGGAUGACCUGUGGCUGGGGGUGAAAGGCCAAUCAAACCGGGAGAUAGCUGGUUCUCCCCGAAAGCUAUUUAGGUAGCGCCUCGUGAACUCAUCUUCGGGGGUAGAGCACUGUUUCGGCUAGGGGGUCAUCCCGACUUACCAACCCGAUGCAAACUGCGAAUACCGAAGAAUGUUAUCACGGGAGACACACGGCGGGUGCUAACGUCCGUCGUGAAGAGGGAAACAACCCAGACCGCCAGCUAAGGUCCCAAAGUCAUGGUUAAGUGGGAAACGAUGUGGGAAGGCCCAGACAGCCAGGAUGUUGGCUUAGAAGCAGCCAUCAUUUAAAGAAAGCGUAAUAGCUCACUGGUCGAGUCGGCCUGCGCGGAAGAUGUAACGGGGCUAAACCAUGCACCGAAGCUGCGGCAGCGACACUGUGUGUUGUUGGGUAGGGGAGCGUUCUGUAAGCCGUUGAAGGUGUGCUGUGAGGCAUGCUGGAGGUAUCAGAAGUGCGAAUGCUGACAUAAGUAACGAUAAAGCGGGUGAAAAGCCCGCUCGCCGGAAGACCAAGGGUUCCUGUCCAACGUUAAUCGGGGCAGGGUGAGUCGACCCCUAAGGCGAGGCCGAAAGGCGUAGUCGAUGGGAAACAGGUUAAUAUUCCUGUACUUGGUGUUACUGCGAAGGGGGACGGAGAAGGCUAUGUUAGCCGGGCGACGGUUGUCCCGGUUUAAGCAUGUAGGCGGAGGUUCCAGGUAAAUCCGGUACCUUUUAACGCUGAGGUGUGAUGACGAGGCACUACGGUGCUGAAGUAACAAAUGCCCUGCUUCCAGGAAAAGCCUCUAAGCAUCAGGUAACACGAAAUCGUACCCCAAACCGACACAGGUGGUCAGGUAGAGAAUACCAAGGCGCUUGAGAGAACUCGGGUGAAGGAACUAGGCAAAAUGGUGCCGUAACUUCGGGAGAAGGCACGCUGACAUGUAGGUGAAGCCCCUGCGGGUGGAGCUGAAGUCAGUCGAAGAUACCAGCUGGCUGCAACUGUUUAUUAAAAACACAGCACUGUGCAAACACGAAAGUGGACGUAUACGGUGUGACGCCUGCCCGGUGCCGGAAGGUUAAUUGAUGGGGUUAUCCUUAGGGAGAAGCUCUUGAUCGAAGCCCCGGUAAACGGCGGCCGUAACUAUAACGGUCCUAAGGUAGCGAAAUUCCUUGUCGGGUAAGUUCCGACCUGCACGAAUGGCGUAAUGAUGGCCAGGCUGUCUCCACCCGAGACUCAGUGAAAUUGAACUCGCUGUGAAGAUGCAGUGUACCCGCGGCAAGACGGAAAGACCCCGUGAACCUUUACUAUAGCUUGACACUGAACAUUGAGCCUUGAUGUGUAGGAUAGGUGGGAGGCUUUGAAGCGUGGACGCCAGUCUGCGUGGAGCCAACCUUGAAAUACCACCCUUUAAUGUUUGAUGUUCUAACCUGGCGCCGUAAUCCGGCGUGGGGACAGUGUCUGGUGGGUAGUUUGACUGGGGCGGUCUCCUCCUAAAGAGUAACGGAGGAGCACGAAGGUUGGCUAAUCCUGGUCGGACAUCAGGAGGUUAGUGCAAUGGCAUAAGCCAGCUUGACUGCGAGCGUGACGGCGCGAGCAGGUGCGAAAGCAGGUCAUAGUGAUCCGGUGGUUCUGAAUGGAAGGGCCAUCGCUCAACGGAUAAAAGGUACUCCGGGGAUAACAGGCUGAUACCGCCCAAGAGUUCAUAUCGACGGCGGUGUUUGGCACCUCGAUGUCGGCUCAUCACAUCCUGGGGCUGAAGUAGGUCCCAAGGGUAUGGCUGUUCGCCAUUUAAAGUGGUACGCGAGCUGGGUUUAGAACGUCGUGAGACAGUUCGGUCCCUAUCUGCCGUGGGCGCUGGAGAAUUGAGGGGGGCUGCUCCUAGUACGAGAGGACCGGAGUGGACGCAUCACUGGUGUUCGGGUUGUCAUGCCAAUGGCAUUGCCCGGUAGCUACAUGCGGAAGAGAUAAGUGCUGAAAGCAUCUAAGCACGAAACUUGCCCCGAGAUGAGUUCUCCCUGAGACCCAGAGUCUCCUGAAGGAACGUUAAAGACUAUGACGUUGAUAGGCCGGGUGUGUAAGCGCAGCGAUGCGUUGAGCUAACCGGUACUAAUGAACCGUGAGGCUUAACCUUACAACGCCGAAG